rnacentral:rRNA from 1 species
GCACACCUAGGGGCGCAGCAGUGAGGAAUAUUGGUCAAUGGUCGGGAGACUGAACCAGCCAAGCCGCGUGAGGGAGGAAGGUACAGAGUAUCGUAAACCUCUUUUGUCAGGGAACAAAGACUGGGACGCGUCCCCGGAUGAGUGUACCUGAAGAAAAAGCAUCGGCUAACUCCGUGCCAGCAGCCGCGGUAAUACGGAGGAUGCGAGCGUUAUCCGGAUUUAUUGGGUUUAAAG